rnacentral:lncRNA from 1 species
AUUUAGACUGACUGGCUAGCUGUAGGUGCUUAAUAAACUUUAGUUACUUCUCCCCCUUCAACUGUGUGCUAUAGUUAUUUGUCUAGCAUCUCAUCUCCCAUAUUGGUCUGUAAGCUUUUUGAAAUUAGGGAUCACAUCUUAUUCUUCUUUAUACCCCUUAUAGAGCUUGGCAUAAUGCCACGUACAGAGCUGAAAUUCCAUAUUUACUGAAGGAAUGAAAUUUUUUCAACCACAUAUUGACUAUGAGAAAUGAAGAUAAGAUAUAUGUGCUUAAUUCUGCUGAAGCUAAAGAAGAACCUACUCAACCCAAAUCGAAUGAUUCUUUACUCACAUUCAUCUAGAGAAGACUAAAUGUAUGUUUAACAACUGUCAUUAAGAACAUGAGGUUAUUAUACAAAGACUAAGAAGUGACUCUCUGAUUUUCGUAAGGAGAUAGAAGAAAAAAGUUUCAACUCAUUGAAGAAGGCUAUAAUACAACGUGUAGCUAUAAAGACCGAUUUUUUGUUUUGCUUGCAGAAUCAAGUUAUUACUUUAGAGUCAUAAUGCUUUUUGCAGAUAUACAUGAUGCUGAAUUUUGGAAUUCUGUAUAAAAUAUAUCCUCAUCUGAAAUAGCUUAGCUCUUUGAUGCCAGGACAUAGAAGGUGUAGACAAAUUAACGUCCAUGUCCUUUGAAGCCCUAUGAUUCUUUGACCUAUUUGGUUUUCCCUUCUAUUUCACCUCUUAGGAAAGCUUUGAAAACUUUAAACAGAUAAUUAGACAACUAGAGAAAGAACUCUAAAGCUAUCCAACCAUUCUUCUUAUUCCAGAAUGGUACAUCAUAAUGAAGAGUACCAAUGUUCUAGGUGACAAAGGUCACAUAUAUAUAAGAUAGGUAAUAAUCAUACCAUUAUGUGUUAAUAGCACACUAUAUCCCAUCCUACUGUAUUUGAACUUCCUGUGAAAACAAUAGCCUGUGGUGAAACAGCUUGUCAUGGAUACUAAUGAAAAAUUGCCCAAGAUAUCCUGAUGGGAAUCCUCCUACAUUCACUCUGCCCCCGAGGUCUGGGAAUUCACUGAACACAAAACUCAGAAGAAGUGAGGUACCGUGAGGAAUGUUGAGAAAACUACAGAAAUAAAAUGGAGAUAACCUGAGGCA